GCCUGCCGCUGAGAGACAAGUCUUGUUUUGAUUCUGUAUUCAAUAAGAUCUACAAAGAGAAUAACACUCAGACAACAAGUGAUUUGUGUGUCCCACUUUGAGCACAGCACCCUUCUGCAGAGGUUUGUGUGACGCCGCGGCGCUAAAGAAAGUUGUCACCCUCACCCCUGCCUGUUCUCCACCAAUCACAGAAUUAUGGGCUGUAUGUUUUGUCGCUACUUGCCCGGGAUUCUGUAAGCCGGCUUGGCCCUAUGAGACACAAGCCGCAUUAAAGCUCCACGUCCACUCAUGGAGCUAAUGACCAAGUGGAUGAUGGACUCUGGCUAUGGCGCAC